GACAGAGGGUGCAAACGUUGUUCGGAUUUACUGGGCGUAAAGGGCGCGUAGGCGGCCACCGCAAGUCGACUGUGAAAUCUCCGGGCUUAACCCGGAAAGGUCAGCCGAUACUGCGGGGCUAGAGUGCAGAAGGGGCAACUGGAAUUCUCGGUGUAGAGGUGAAAUUCGUAGAUAUCGGGAGGAACACCAGUGGCGAAGGCGGCGAUCUGGGUAGAUACUGACGCUGAGGUGCGAAAGCGUGGGGAGCAAACAGG
rnacentral:rRNA from 1 species